UCCACCCCAGCCUCCUGAGCCUGAGUAGCAGGGGCUAUAGGCUGCCCUCUAGCCGGGCUUCACCUUCCAGUCUCCAUGAUGGAGAAGGCUGGAGGCGGUGGUCUCCACAGUUGCAGCCCAGCCCUGGAGACGUGGACGGAGUGGGCAGCCCAGAAAAUUCAUCUGAACAGCCUUCCUACAGCCGCUCCCCACACCAGGUGGCCAGGUGGGAGUUCCAGACCAGAGCUGUCUCCCGGGAUGUUGACACAGCAGCCACGUUGAUUGGUGUUGGGGCAGCCCCUGUCGGUGUGGCUGGCUUCGGGCCUGGCAUUGGAACGGUGUCUGGCAGCUUGUUGGCUAUGCCGGGAAUCUGUUUCUCAAGCAGCAGCUCAUCUCCGAUGCCAUUCUGGGCUUUGCUGUGUCUGAGGCCAUGGGGCUGUUCUGUUUGGUGGUCGUCUUCCUCAUCCUCGCCACGUGAGGCUCCACAGGGGUCACCUGCCUGUCCCUGCUGCCCGUCCCUACUCCACGCCAUUCCUGGUGAUGGGGUAUGCUAAUUUUUACCAUUAAACACACG
rnacentral:lncRNA from 1 species